GACGAACGCUGGCGGCGUGCUUAACACAUGCAAGUCGAACGGAAAGGCCCUGCUUUUGUGGGGUGCUCGAGUGGCGAACGGGUGAGUAACACGUGAGUAACCUGCCCUUGACUUUGGGAUAACUUCAGGAAACUGGGGCUAAUACCGGAUAGGAGCUCCUGCUGCAUGGUGGGGGUUGGAAAGUUUCGGCGGUUGGGGAUGGACUCGCGGCUUAUCAGCUUGUUGGUGGGGUAGUGGCUUACCAAGGCUUUGACGGGUAGCCGGCCUGAGAGGGUGACCGGCCACAUUGGGACUGGGAUACGGCCCAGGCGCCUACGGGAGGCAGCAGUGGGGAAUAUUGCACGAUGGGCGGAAGCCUGAUGCAGCAACGCCGCGUGCGGGAUGACGGCCUUCGGGUUGUAAACCGCUUUCGCCUGUGACGAAGCGUGAGUGACGGUAAUGGGGAAAGAAGCACCGGCUAACUACGU
rnacentral:rRNA from 1 species